rnacentral:rRNA from 1 species
GAUGAACGCUGGCGGCGUGCUUAACACAUGCAAGUCGAACGAAGCACUUAAGAUUGAUUCUUCGGAUGACGUCUUUUGUGACUUAGUGGCGGACGGGUGAGUAACGCGUGGGUAACCUGCCUCACACAGGGGGAUAACAGUUAGAAAUGACUGCUAAUACCGCAUAACCCGAUAGGAUCGCAUGAUCCAGACGGAAAAGAUUUAUCGGUGUGAGAUGGACCCGCGUCUGAUUUGCUAGUUGGUGAGGUAACGGCCCACCAAGGCGACGAUCAGUAGCCGGCCUGAGAGGGUGAACGGCCACAUUGGGACUGAGACACGGCCCAAACUCCUACGGGAGGCAGCAGUGGGGAAUAUUGCACAAUGGGGGAAACCCUGAUGCAGCGACGCCGCGUGAGUGAAGAAGUAUUUCGGUAUGUAAAGCUCUAUCAGCAGGGAAGAAAAUGACGGUACCUGACUAAGAAGCCCCGGCUAACUACGUG